rnacentral:rRNA from 1 species
UACGUAGGAGACGAGCGUUGUCCGGAAUACUGGGCGUAAAGCGCGUGUAGGCGGACAGGCAAGUCUGCUGUGAAAGCUCCUGGCUUAACCGGGAGUGGUCGGUGGAAACUGCCCGUCUGGAGGACGGUAGAGGUAGGUAGAAUUCCCCGGUGUAGUGGUGAAAUGCGUAGAGAUCGGGAGGAAUACCUGUGGCGAAGGCGGCCUACUGGGCCGGACCUGACGCUGAGACGCGAAGGCGUGGGGGAGCGAACGGGG